AGGGACUGCACCACCAAGAUACCCUAACCCUACUUUCUAACAGCAUUCUUCUCCCUGAAGUGGUCAAAGCAACAAUUGCAGCCUGCUUUUUUAAAAGAGUUCUUCCAGGGUGUUUGAACGCUGUGUGUUGCUUAGAUUUGUUUGUCCCGUCUCAAGAACUGCUAUGUGGAUAUAAAUAUGCAACAAAUUGAUUCAUGGAGAGCUCUUAAAAUAAUACCUGAAACAUGGGGCGCCUG